rnacentral:rRNA from 1 species
UACAGAGGGUGCAAGCGUUGUCCGGAUUUACUGGGCGUAAAGCGUUUCGUAGGUGGUUCGGGAAGUUAUUUUUCAAAUAUCAAGGCUUAACCUUGGAAAGGGGAAUAAUACUCUCGGACUGGAAGUAUGUCGGGGUUUUCGGAACUUGCGGUGUAGGGGUGAAAUCCGUUGAUAUCGCAAGGAACACCAAGGGCGAAGGCAGAAAACUAGGCAUUACUUGACACUGAGGAACGACAGCUAGGGGAGCGAAAGGG